UACAGAGGUGGCAAGCGUUGUUCGGAAUUACUGGGCGUAAAGGGCGCGUAGGCGGCCUUCUAAGUCAGACGUGAAAUCCCCCGGCUUAACUUGGGAACUGCGUCUGAUACUGGAAGGCUUGAGUGCGGGAGAGGGAUGUGGAACUCCAGGUGUAGCGGUGAAAUGCGUAGAUAUCUGGAGGAACACCGGUGGCGAAGGCGGCAUCCUGGACCGACACUGACGCUGAGGCGCGAAAGCUAGGGGAGCAAACGGG
rnacentral:rRNA from 1 species